CAUCGUUUUUAAUGUUUCAAGACAUUUAAAAUAUAGUUUUAUAUUUUGUUUUUUAAAGAAAAUUUCAUCAUCCAUAACUGUAUAUGGUGUAAUAAAAUUAAUAAAUGAUGUUCCUAAAAUAACAUUUUGAUAUAUUUCAUCUGUGAGAAUAAAUGCAUUUUUAAUAAAGAUAUCUUUUUUUUUUAAUAUUGAAGCUCCUGCUUUAGAUGUUAUAUAGAGUUAUUUG
rnacentral:lncRNA from 1 species